UGGGGAAUAUUGCACAAUGGGGGAAACCCUGAUGCAGCGACGCCGCGUGAACGAAGAAGGUAUUCGUAUCGUAAAGAUCUGUCCUAUGGGAAGAUAAUGACAGUACCAUAGAAGAAAGCUCCGGCUAAAUACGUGCCAGCAGCCGCGGUAAUACGUAUGGAGCGAGCGUUGUCCGGAAUUAUUGGGCGUAAAGGGUACGCAGGCGGUUUAAUAAGUCGAAUGUUAAAGAUCGGGGCUCAACCCCGCAAAGCAUUGGAAACUGAUAAACUUGAGUAGUGGAGAGGAAAGUGGAAUUCCUAGUGUAGUGGUGAAAUACGUAGAUAUUAGGAGGAAUACCAGUAGCGAAGGCGACUUUCUGGACACAAACUGACGCUGAGGUACGAAAGCGUGGGGAGCAAACAGG
rnacentral:rRNA from 1 species